CUCCAUUUCAUCAUCUUUGAACUGAUACAAAUGUUCUAGUAAGCAUGAAUAGAAUACUUAAACUUUGUAUGAUGCUCUUUUGAAUACCCUACGUUCCAUCAGUAUAAUGUGGGAAACAAAUAUACACCUCAUGGAAUGUCAGCCUUCAUGAAACUAGCAAACAAGAAAGCAAUAACGCAUCUUGAUCUCAUUGGUAUUCCUACAUAUCUAUGCUGAAGAGCAAUAAAAAUUUUAAAAGCCUACUUCACGAUGAUUGAUACUCCAAAAUAUAAUGAUAAUAGAAAAAUGAAUGAUUGGAAACAACCAUAUUCAAAGAGAGGGCAAGAUAAAGAAAAUGACAAUCAGAACCUUCAUGCUACGCAAAACUAUUUAGAUUUCUUUUCCAACCACACCAAAAAGCAAAACAAAUUCCACCAAUUAAUGGAUCCAAAAGGAAAAUUUGCAUACCGUAAAAUAUGCGGGGAUUUUGGGUAUCACAAUCUUG
rnacentral:misc_RNA from 1 species